rnacentral:SRP_RNA from 1 species
GCUGGGUGUGGUGGCGCACACCUGUAAUUCCAGCUACUCGGGAGGCUGAGGCAGGAGAAUCGCUUGAGCCCAGGAAGCAGAGGUUGUAGUGAACCAAGAUUGUCCCACUGCACUCCAGCCUGGGCAACAGAGUGAGACUCUAUCUCAA